ensembl:lncRNA MIR3976HG MIR3976 host gene
ACUGCAAUGUUUUCAAGAGAGAAGGGGUGUGAUCAGAGCUGCACUGCGGAGGCUUUACUGAAGGAAGAACAGGGACAGGGUUUGUCUGGUAUGAUUAGGGACUAGGAUGGUGUACGUGGAACAACUCCUGGUAAGACCAGGGUUGAAGUGAGAAGUGGAAUUGACACAGAGAGCAGGGGCCCGCCCUAUCCAAGAGGCAGCAGAAUGCGGGGACUGACAGCAAACAAGAACACAUCAGUGGAGUAGAAAAGGAAAGUGUAGAAGAGAGGAAAAACAACGUGGAAGUGUUCUGAUGGGACGGAAGAAGAUCGGGCCAAGGAAAGAAGAAUGUUGUGAAGAUGCAAGCAGCCAAUUUGUGCUCCAUAAAAAGUAAAAUCCAGCAAGGAACUGAAUCCCUCAGACCCACAACUCACAAGAAACUGAAGCUGAAGCAGAUUCUUCCUCAGUCAAGCUUCAGGUGCCCAGCUGUAUUGGUAGAGGAGACCAACCACACCCUCCACAGCACAGCACCUGGAGAGGAACUGCUGCCAUGACCAUAGAGGACACCCUCUGGAUACAAUGCCAGACUUGAUGUGGGACUGACCAACCUAUGGACCCCAGGCACCACCACCCAGACCUGCUCAGCACCUGAAAGGGACCUCUGACCCAAGAGUUCGGUCAAUGCAUAUGUUGGCAGCCAGCUGCACAUCGCACCAAAUAUGAACUUCAAAUAGAAGAAAGCCUCAUUUGGAAGAAAGCUCAUGCACAGACUGUAAAUAUUUCAGAGCAGAUUGUGUCUCUGUAGAUUAAGUAAGUUGUGAAAGUCUGAACCUCUGCCAAAAUUUUAAGACCUUGACCUUUACAUCUCUGAGUUUCUAUCUGUCAUUUUUCCUUUCUAUCUGUCAUUUUACCUUUCAUACUUAUAAAAUGGAAUUCAUAAUCUUCUCAGCCUACCAAGUGUUAGUGUUCUAGGGAUUCAGAUAAAAUAUGUAUGAAAUUACUUUGAAUUACCUAAAACAUGACAUUUAUUCAUUCAACAAGUAUUUGUUGAACAUAUACGUCCUUCCUGGUGCUGUGUCAGGUGCUGGUGAAUAUAGCUGUGGUCAUGGCAGACUUUACCUCUGCUUUCAUAACUGUAACAUGAAAGUGUUGCUACCACAGUCAUGUUAUUAGAACGACUACUUUAACAUCGACUACUAAUAUAAAAUUUGUAGAUGUUUAAAUGAAAUCAUUAUUUGUGUAACCAUUAAUAUCCUGUGUAAUGUUAUAAUAUUUGGGGCACCUUUGUAAUUGUUAAAUGAUUUAUUUCAUUCCCAGGUGAGUUUGUAGAAAAUAAUACAAUCACUCUCAAUUCCAUUAGUGUUUUUACUUUCAGUUUGAUUCACAUUGCUCAUCCCAGUCUGACGUAAGUCAUCACCUACAAGAACCAGACAAGGAAAAACAGAACAAACUUGAAAGAAAUCAGCUAUCAUAUCUCUAUAAAUGUAUUCUGCCUCUAUUUUUCAUUUUCUUUUAGUAAAGUACUUUAUAAGAAAAACAAUGAAGGGCAGGGAAUUAGAAUCUACUCAAGCAUCUGCUGUAUUCUAGACAUUUUAUGUCCAUCGUCUCCUUCACACACCUUGGCACUCCACAAUGCAGAGGUUACUAUCCCCAAUUUGUAGAUGGAGGAUGAGAGGCAUUGAGAGAUGAAGUGACUUUUCAGACUCAGUCAGUUGCUCUCUAAAGCCAAUGCUCUUUCCACUGUACCUAACAAUUUUGUUGUAUCAAUCUGUUUAACUACAACAUGAUAUUAUUUAAUGUGACUCAGUUCAUAUGCUAUUGGUCAGUAGGGAAUUGAUGUGAAUUUUGUUGGUCUUGUCAGCAAACAGUUUAUUUUUCCAGUAUGACAAUGUUGUGACAAGAUCAGAAGCCAGCUUUCUCACCAUUAAAUCAAAGUCUUAUCAAUAUAUGGAGACUUUUAUGGAAAGAAACCUGAAAUUACGCAGAAAUGCCUUCCGCAAGAAGUGGCUAGUAUGGUGGCUUCAAGAACAGUGACAUUUUUCAGUAUGUCCGUUGUUCUAAGACGUUAGUACAUCACAAUUACCUAGAAAACUUGUUAAAACACAGAAGUCUGGGCUCCCCCUCUUGGCCAACCCCCAUUCCCAGAGGGUUUCUGUUUCCAUGGGUCUGAAAUACCACCUAACGAUUGGCAUUUCUAACAAAUUUCUGCAUGAAGCUGCUGGUCUGAGGACCACACUUUGACAACCAGUGCACUACAUUAAGCUAUCUGGAGAAGCUGCAAAUGCAGAUGAAGAAGCUACAAAUUUUUCUAUGUCAACAAAAAUUGACUGAUGAGGGUGACCUUCGGAUCAUGUUUUUAAUGUUUAUGAAACUGGUCUCAUUAUCAGAAGUAAAUGGCUUCAAGAACUUCAGCCUGAGGAAGAAAACAUGAGUCCUAGGCAUAUCAGGCUACAACCAUGUUUGGAAUGAAUCUAGGUGCAAAUCUCAGUGGAGAAUUAACUGUACCAAUAUUUUAAUUAGGAUUACUAAUGUUUUGUUACUUCCUGAUUACAAGGUUCUAUAGGUUUUGAAUGAUCCACUGUAAUCCUGUUUCUUUUCCAUAAGUCGUGUAGUUUUUAGCAUGUAAUUAUGCAGACCAUAAGGUUUUUCAGGAAUACUAAUAUGGCAUUAGAUUAGAAAUGCUAUAUUAAAAAUUCUUAUUAAAUCUACUGAUAGUAACCAAAAAAUAGAAGAUUCAGAAGAACUAGCAAAUGUGGAGAGAACGGAUGAAAUGGAAGCAGUGUGAACCUAGUGAAUACUUGCCAAGCUGUAUCUCCCCUGAAUUUGUCAAAACAUCAUCUCCAGCAUCUGAGCUAGACCAACCCUCAGUGCUAACAUUGAUGUGAUUAAAGAGUCUGAACUGGGAGCAGAAUUCCUUCAGGUAUUUUGUUAAUAAAAUAAA